rnacentral:rRNA from 1 species
AUGCAUCGACGCGACUGGAGGCGCUCGAGUCACCGCCGACGCGCCCCCAAGGCCCAGCCAGCGCGACCACAACGCCUCCGUCUGUGGUGGUGCACGCGCAUGGCGGGGAGCGGCCCAGUGGGCACAACGGGCAUCACCAGCAACGAGGGCCGGUUUUGGGGGAUCCCCGUUCCCCAAAUCCGCCUCCGGCCAAUGGUAUGCCCUCCUUCGCCACGUUUGCCGUCCGGGAGUCCUUUUGUGAAGCGCCGAUUUUUGCACCCUACCCCUCGACCACACUUGGGCAGCACACCCGAAAUGGAUUUUCCUAAAUUCGAUGGGGAAGAUUACCAAGUGUGGUUGGACAAUUGUGAAUCGUAUUUCGAGAUUUAUGGGGUGUCUGAGCCGAUGAAAUUAAAGUUUGCCGCUCUCAACUGUGUUGGGAACGCGGCGUUGUGGCUAAAAAUGGCCCAGAAACGCCGGCAGUUUGUGCAUUGGCACGACCUGCGCACUGCAGUUCAGGAGAUGUGGGGGAAGAACAAGCACAAAUUCCACAUGCGCCAGUUGCUACUGCUUAAUCAGACUAGCUCGGUAGAUGAGUACACUUCUAAAUUUGACACCUUGCGACACCAAAUCCUUCUAGCAGAUCCACACACUAGCGAGGUGUUCUUUUUUUUAAAAGAAAACAUCCACUUUAUUCUCCAUAGGCUCCUCAAACCAAUCUCUAGUUACAGAAGUGAAAGUGCUAGUUAUCGACUAGAGGGGGGGUGA